GACGAACGCUGGCGGCGUGCUUAACACAUGCAAGUCGAGCGGUAAGGCCCUUUCGGGGGUACACGAGCGGCGAACGGGUGAGUAACACGUGGGUGACCUGCCCUCAGCUCUGGGAUAAGCCUGGGAAACCGGGUCUAAUACCGGAUAUGACUCCAUGACGCAUGUUGUGGGGUGGAAAGCCUUGUGCGGCUGAGGAUGGGCCCGCGGCCUAUCAGCUUGUUGGUGGGGUGAUGGCCUACCAAGGCGACGACGGGUAGCCGGCCUGAGAGGGCGACCGGCCACACUGGGACUGAGACACGGCCCAGACUCCUACGGGAGGCAGCAGUGGGGAAUCUUGCGCAAUGGGCGAAAGCCUGACG
rnacentral:rRNA from 1 species